CGACCGCAUCGCGUUGAAACACCGGUUCUCGUUCGGUGACCAAAGUCAAGCAACACUGAGCCUGGUCAGUACCUAGAUGGGUGACCGCUUGAGAAUAUCAG